UACAGAGGGGGCAAGCGUUGUUCGGAAUUACUGGGCGUAAAGGGCGCGUAGGCGGCCUGCUAAGUCGGACGUGAAAUCCCUCGGCUCAACCGGGGAACUGCGUCCGAUACUGGCGGGCUUGAAUCCGGGAGAGGAAUGCGGAAUUCCAGGUGUAGCGGUGAAAUGCGUAGAUAUCUGGAGGAACACCGGUGGCGAAGGCGGCAUUCUGGACCGGCAUUGACGCUGAUGCGCGAAAGCCAGGGGAGCAAACGGG
rnacentral:rRNA from 1 species